GAUGAAGAACGCAGCGAAAUGCGAUACGUAAUGUGAAUUACAAAUUCAGUGAAUCAUCGAGUCUUUGAACGCACAUUGCGCCCCCUGGUAUUCCGGGGGGCAUGCCUGUCCGAGCGUCAUUGCUGCCCUCAAGCACGGCUUGUGUGUUGGGCCCCGUCCUCCGAUCCCGGGGGACGGGCCCGAAAGGCAGCGGCGGCACCGCGUCCGGUCCUCGAGCGUAUGGGGCUUUGUCACCCGCUCUGUAGGCCCGGCCGGCGCUUGCCGAUCAACCCAAAUUUUUAUCCAGGUUGACCUCGGAUCAGGUAGGGAUACCCGCUGAACUUAAGCAUAUCAAUAAGCGGAGGA
rnacentral:misc_RNA from 1 species